UAAAGCCGAAGACCUCCAAGUCCGUCAUACGAUCUCGGAGGCACGAAGCCCCAACACGAAAGUAGCUUUAUUAACCCCGACCCCACGAAAGCUAAGAAACAAACUGGGAUUAGAUACCCCACUAUGCUUAGCCUUAAACCUAGAUGUCAAACAUACAAGUAACAUCCGCCAGGGAACUACGAGCGCUAGCUUAAAACCCAAAGGACUUGACGGUGUCUCAGACCCACCUAGAGGAGCCUGUUCUAGAACCGAUAAUCCACGUUAAACCUCACCACCCCUUGUCCAAUCCAGCCUGUAUACCGCCGUCGCAAGCUUACCCUGUGAAGGUCCCAUAGUAAGCAAGAUGGGUAAAUCCCAAAACGUCAGGUCGAGGUGCAGCUCACGGAGUGGGAAGAAAUGGGCUACAUUUUCUACAACAGAAUAUUACGAAUAACACCAUGAAACUGGUGUUUGAAGGUGGAUUUAGUAGUAAAAAACAAGCAGAGAGUCUUUUUGAACCAGGCUCUGAGACGCGUACACACCGCCCGUCACCC
rnacentral:rRNA from 1 species